UCGCCUCCCUCUUCUCCCACCUCUGUCUCCGCCGCCGUCGACCGCCGCGCCUCCCACUCCCAGCCUCGCCGCCUCGAACGGGCAGAGUUGGGGCACGCUAGAGUAGCGAGGAUGCUCGUUUUACAGGCGACCUUCAGCCGCGGCGGCGUCGUGCGCGGUGGGGCGGAUGGGCAGCGACGCGCACCUCUGCGGCGAGCACCCCGACCGACCGACGACGCCUCGGUUGCGGCCCUCCUAGACUCCCGCUUCGACGCCGACGCGCUCAGGCAGGCGCUAAAAUGCUGUGGCUAGACAUGGAUUGGUCAGGAAUUCUGCAGUAUUUGCUUCAAAUUUGUCUUUGGAGAUGCUAGGUAGCGUGGAUUCAUUAGUUCAUGCUGAUAAGUGAUAAUAUGUCCUGCACUCAGACUGAAACUGAUGUUGAGGAGUUUGUGACACUGUCAAAGAGCGCAACUAUGAUGUGACGGUGCUGGACAAUAGGCCGCCUUGCCCGCCGUGCUGUGUCCUCCUUGCGAUCAAGAUGAUCCCUCUAUGGUGAGAUGCGCAUCUGUCCUGGUCUGUGCUUGCUGCUCUAUCGGUUUGGCUUGCGUGCUUAUGUAGUUCGACGCAUAUUUUUAGUUUUACUGCUAAUGUUGGUAUGGCAUGGUUAAGGAAAUGUUUAACUAGAUGAAUUCAGUGGGAUCAUUACUUCUUUGUCAUUUUCAUUGGGUUCUGUUGUUAGAUUAUACUACUCGAUUAUGCUUCUUGCACACGGGAAAUGAUGUUCAUUACUA